rnacentral:rRNA from 1 species
GAUGAACGCUAGCUACAGGCUUAACACAUGCAAGUCGCGGGGCAGCAUGGGGGUUGCUUGCAAUCCCCGAUGGCGACCGGCGCACGGGUGAGUAACGCGUAUCCAACCUGCCCUUCACCACGGGAUAACCCGGCGAAGGUCGGACUAAUACCGUAUGUUGUCCAUUGACGGCAUCCGAUUUGGACGAAAGGCUUGGCGGUGAGGGAUGGGGAUGCGUCCGAUUAGCCAGACGGCGGGGUCACGGCCCACCGUGGCUACGAUCGGUAGGGGUUCUGAGAGGAAGGUCCCCCACACUGGAACUGAGACACGGUCCAGACUCCUACGGGAGGCAGCAGUGAGGAAUAUUGGUCAAUGGGCGUAAGCCUGAACCAGCCAAGUAGCGUGCAGGAUGACGGCCCUAUGGGUUGUAAACUGCUUUUAUGCGGGGAUAAAGUGGCCCACGUGUGGGCUUUUGCAGGUACCGCAUGAAUAAGGACCGGCUAAUUCCGUG